AUUCCACCCGACUACUUUUCGACCCCAGAAUUGAACUUUGAGGUCAUCACUGGGGAAAAUGCUUUAGCCUUGCUCGUAAUGGUGAUCCAGAAGUAGAGACUGGAUACGGUGAAAAUGGUGUUCUGUACCCCAUCAACGCCGGGAAAACUGGCAUUGACGGUUGCCUGUUUCGCCUCCGGAGCUGCUCUUUUCGUGGUCGGCAUGAACCUGUCGUACGCAAAUAUCGCCCCCCAGCAAGCCCGUACCAAAGCCCGCAACGAUUUCGUCAAAGAACGGAUCAGGCAGAAACGUGGUGGACAGUGAUUUCGGAUUCAAGCCGCCAAAGCAUUUGGUCUUUGUAUUGUACGAAAAGGAUUGGAUGCAGAACUAUUCUAUUUGUUUUUUUAUAUAUAAAAAAAAAAGCGAAUAAAACGAUUAGAAA